AAUAAACGUUGGCGGCGUGCCUAACACAUGCAAGUCGAGGGGAAACGACAUCGAAAGCUUGCUUUUGAUGGGCGUCGACCGGCGCACGGGUGAGUAACGCGUAUCCAACCUGCCCACCACUUGGGGAUAACCUUGCGAAAGUAAGACUAAUACCCAAUGACGUCUCUAGAAGACAUCUGAAAGAGAUUAAAGAUUUAUCGGUGAUGGAUGGGGAUGCGUCUGAUUAGCUUGUUGGCGGGGUAACGGCCCACCAAGGCGACGAUCAGUAGGGGUUCUGAGAGGAAGGUCCCCCACAUUGGAACUGAGACACGGUCCAAACUCCUACGGGAGGCAGCAGUGAGGAAUAUUGGUCAAUGGGCGAGAGCCUGAACCAGCCAAGUAGCGUGCAGGAUGACGGCCCUAUGGGUUGUAAACUGCUUUUAUAAGGGAAUAAAGUGAGUCUCGUGAGACUUUUUGCAUGUACCUUAUGAAUAAGGACCAGCUAAUUCCGUGCCAGCCGCCGCGGUAA
rnacentral:rRNA from 1 species